rnacentral:rRNA from 1 species
CUCAUAGUGGGGGAUAACAGUCGGAAACGACUGCUAAUACCGCAUAGGACAUAGGAUCACAUGAUCCAGUGAGGAAAAGGUGGCGCAAGCUAUCGCUAAGAGAUGGACCCGCGGUGCAUUAGCUAGUUGGUAGGGUAAAGGCCUACCAAGGCGAUGAUGCAUAGCCGACCUGAGAGGGUGAUCGGCCACAUUGGGACUGAGACACGGCCCAAACUCCUACGGGAGGCAGCAGUAGGGAAUCUUCCGCAAUGGACGCAAGUCUGACGGAGCAACGCCGCGUGAGUGAAGAAGGUCUUCGGAUCGUAAAGCUCUGUUGUUAGAGAAGAACAGCGCAUAGAGUAACUGUUAUGCGUGUGACGUAUCUAACCA